rnacentral:misc_RNA from 1 species
AACGCACAUUGCGCCUACCGGUAUUCCGGUAGGCAUAUCUGUCUGAGCGUCAGCAAAACAACCUUCGGACGGUUUUAAUCGACCGGUACCGGUAGUGGGUCGGGAGGUGGAGAGGGUUUCGGCCUUCUCCCUCCGGCCUUAAACUUUUGCUGUACGACCGCGAGUUACUUGAGGUUCGGUCUACGAUAUGGUGUUAACGUGUCAAUCGUAAGCUGCCAGCCGAUAUUUCUGCGGCGUUAAAUUAAAAAAGGCCGCCCUUGCGGUGGCUGUGGUUUGACCUCAGAUCAGAUAAGGAUACCCGCUGAACUUAA